rnacentral:misc_RNA from 1 species
GAACGCACCUUGCGCCCUUUGGCCAUUCCGAAGGGCAUGCCUGUUUGAGUAUCAUGAACACCUCAACUCUCAUGGCUUGCCAUGCUGAGCUUGGACUUUGGGGGUCUUGUCGGCCUGCGGUCGGCUCCUCUCAAAUGGAUCAGCUUGCCAGUGUUUGGUGGCGUCACAGGUGUGAUAACUAUCUGCGCUUGUGGUUUCCCAUCAGAUAACCUUCAGUGAUGGAGGUUCGCUGGGGCUCAUAAAUGUGUCUCUCCUCACCGAGGACAGCUCUCUAGACGUUUGAUCUCAAAUCAGGUAGGACUACCCGCUGAACUUAAG